UACGUAGGGUGCAAGCGUUAAUCGGAAUUACUGGGCGUAAAGCGUGCGCAGGCGGUUUUGUAAGUCAGAUGUGAAAUCCCCGGGCUUAACCUGGGAACUGCGUUUGAAACUACAAGGCUAGAGUGUGGCAGAGGGGGGUGGAAUCCCACGUGUAGCAGUGAAAUGCGUAGAGAUGUGGAGGAACACCGAUGGCGAAGGCAGCCCCCUGGGUUAACACUGACGCUCAGGCACGAAAGCGUGGGGAGCAAACAGG
rnacentral:rRNA from 1 species